rnacentral:rRNA from 1 species
CCAUGCAGUCGACGAUGAUGCCCUGCUUGCAGGGUGGAUUAGUGGCGAACGGGUGAGUAACACGUGGGUGAUCUGCCUCGUACUUCGGGAUAAGCUUGGGAAACUGGGUCUAAUACCGGAUAGGACUGCACUGUAGGGGUGUGGUGGAAAGUUUUUCGGUACGAGAUGAGCCUGCGGCCUAUCAGCUUGUUGGUGGGGUAAUGGCCUACCAAGGCGUCGACGGGUAUCCGGCCUGAGAGGGUGUACGGACACAUUGGGACUGAGAUACGGCCCAGACUCCUACGGGAGGCAGCAGUGGGGAAUAUUGCACAAUGGGCGCAAGCCUGAUGCAGCGACGCCGCGUGGGGGAUGACGGCCUUCGGGUUGUAAACUCCUUUCGUCAGGGACGAAGCCAUCUUUGGUGGUGACGGUACCUGGAUAAGAAGCACCGGCUAACUACGUGCCAGCAGCCGCGGUAAUACGUAGGGUGCGAGCGUUGUCCGGAAUUACUGGGCGUAAAGAGCUCGUAGGUGGUUUGUCGCGUCGUCUGUGAAAUUCCGGGGCUCAACUCCGGAUGGGCAGGCGAUACGGGCAUAACUUGAGUGCUGUAGGGGAGACUGGAAUUCCUGGUGUAGCGGUGAAAUGCGCAGAUAUCAGGAGGAACACCGAUGGCGAAGGCAGGUCUCUGGGCAGUUACUGACGCUGAGGAGCGAAAGCAUGGGUAGCGAACAGGAUUAGAUACCCUGGUAGUCCAUGCCGUAAACGGUGGGCGCUAGGUGUAGGGGGCUUCCACGUCUUCUGUGCCGUAGCUAACGCAUUAA